rnacentral:rRNA from 1 species
UACGUAGGGAGCAAGCGUUGUCCGGAAUCAUUGGGCGUAAAGCGCGCGUAGGUGGCCUCAUAAGUCCGCUGUGAAAGUCAAAGGCUCAACCUUUGAAAGCCGGUGGAUACUGUGGGGCUAGAGUACGGAAGAGGCGAGUGGAAUUCCUGGUGUAGCGGUGGAAUGCGUAGAUAUCAAGCGGAACACCAGUGGCGAAGGCGAGUCCCUGGACAACUCCUGACACUGAGGCACGAAAGCUAGGGGAGCAAACAGG